CGGGUCUUGAAUGACUGAUACAACAACCUGCUUGAACAAAAAUCUGAUUUUCCUAUCUCAAGUAACCAAACACAUCCUCCAAAAUCCUUUGUAAUGCUCAUUCUAAUCCUAGAUUCAAUUCUGUCAACCAAAAUCCAAGGGUUCAUGGUUGGCAAGACAUGUGCUCAUCAAAUCAAUAGAGAAUGUAAAAGCCGAACCAAG
rnacentral:misc_RNA from 1 species